GAUUGGCUGUUGGUGUUGCGAGCUGUGGAAGUAGCGUUGGAGGUGUCAUCUUCCCCAUUAUGGUUUCCAGACUGAUCAAAUCCCACGGCUUUGCGACCUCUAUUAGAUGGUCAAUGGUCGUGGUUGGCAUAACUAUGCUGAUUGGGAUAUUGCUCUGCGACACACCGUUUCCACCACAAUAUAAGCUGAAAAAGCUGCAAAUUGACGAGGAGGCUGUCCAGCAUACAGACAGGAAGAUCUCCCAGGAUAUAGAGCCAGAUGAUUCUGAAUCGGUUAGGGA
rnacentral:sRNA from 1 species